UACGUAGGGGGCAAGCGUUGUCCGGAAUCAUUGGGCGUAAAGAGCGUGUAGGCGGCCCGAUAAGUCCGCCGUGAAAGUCCAGGGCUCAACCCUGGAAUGCCGGUGGAAACUGUCGGGCUGGAGUCCGGAAGAGGCGAGUGGAAUUCCUGGUGUAGCGGUGAAAUGCGCAGAUAUCAGGAGGAACACCUAUGGCGAAGGCAGCUCGCUGGGACGGCACUGACGCUGAGACGCGAAAGCGUGGGGAGCAAACAGG
rnacentral:rRNA from 1 species